AAUACACUAAAAUAAAGAGCUUUUGUUCUGAUAAAAGUAGCCAGACAAAGACAGAGAAGAGACUUUGGAACAGACAGAAAGGGAGCCUGGAGAGAUGCAAGUUGAUCCUCAGACUCAGAAGGGGUAUGUGGCAUAAACUAAAGCCUGCUUAAACUAGCAAGGACAGGCUAAAAUUAGAGACUGUCCAGUUUGGCCUCCCUCCUGCUCUGUCCCCAUUACAAGAAGUAAAAGGGCCAGAGUGACAUAAAAGGGCCUGUGACACAGUGGAAGAAGCAAGGAGACUUUGUAAAAUGCUUUGUUGAGUGUCCCCCCACCAGCGACCAAAUUGGGAGGUAGUAUGUACUGGAGACAUGAUGCACAACAAUUAGGUUACAGCAGUCCAAAACUGCAAAUGUUUCAACGCUCCCCCUAUCAUCUCCGUCCCAGAGGCUAGCGCAGAGAAGAAGGUGAAAAAAACGCACUUGCAAUGAAAUGUUCUCUGAGCUCAUGCAGUCCUCCCGCACUGAAAGAGCUCAGCAGAAUGCAUGGAGGCAAGCAAUGUCAGAGUCCAGGAAAGCACAAAAUGAAUGUGAGGACAAGAGGGACGCAGGAGAGGAGAGGUGGCAGGAGCAAGAGGAGAGGUGGUGGGAUCAAGAUGAUAGGUGGUGGCAGCAUGAUGAGAGGAGGCAGGAUGCAAUGCUGAGGUUACUGGAGGAUCAAACUGAUAUGCUCCGGCAUAUGGCUGAGCUGCAGGAAAGGCAGCAGGAGCACAGAUCACCGCUGCAGCCCCUGUGUAACCAACCGCCCUCCUCCCCAAGUUCCAUAGCCUCCUCGCCCAGACACCCAAGAAUGCGGGGUGGGAGGAGGGUAAGGGGCUCCAGGCAGCCAACCACUCCACCCCAGAGGACUGCCCAAGCAACAGAAGGCUGCCAUUUAAUAAGUUUUGAAGUGCAGUGUGGUCUUGUCCUUCCCUCCUCCCCUCUUUCCCCCACCCCACCCAGUGCUUCCCUCCUUCCCCACCCCUCCCAGGCUACCUUGGCAGU